rnacentral:rRNA from 1 species
UGGGGAAUAUUGGACAAUGGGCGAAAGCCUGAUCCAGCCAUGCCGCGUGUGUGAAGAAGGUCUUCGGAUUGUAAAGCACUUUAAGUUGGGAGGAAGGGCAUUAACCUAAUACGUUAGUGUUUUGACGUUACCGACAGAAUAAGCACCGGCUAACUCUGUGCCAGCAGCCGCGGUAAUACAGAGGGUGCAAGCGGUAAUCGGAAUUACUGGGCGUAAAGCGCGCGUAGGUGGUUUGUUAAGUUGGAUGUGAAAUCCCCGGGCUCAACCUGGGAACUGCAUUCAAAACUGACUGACUAGAGUAUGGUAGAGGGUGGUGGAAUUUCCUGUGUAGCGGUGAAAUGCGUAGAUAUAGGAAGGAACGCCAGUGGCGAAGGCGACCACCUGGACUAAUACUGACACUGAGGUGCGAAAGCGUGGGGAGCAAACA